AUUGAACGCUGGCGGCAUGCCUUACACAUGCAAGUCGAACGGUAACGGGCCUUCGGGUGCCGACGAGUGGCGAACGGGUGAGUAAUACAUCGGAACGUGCCCGAUCGUGGGGGAUAACGAGGCGAAAGCUUUGCUAAUACCGCAUACGAUCUACGGAUGAAAGCAGGGGACCGCAAGCCCUUGCGCGGACGGAGCGGCCGAUGGCAGAUUAGGUAGUUGGUGGGAUAAAAGCUUACCAAGCCGACGAUCUGUAGCUGGUCUGAGAGGAUGAUCAGCCACACUGGGACUGAGACACGGCCCAGACUCCUACGGGAGGCAGCAGUGGGGAAUUUUGGACAAUGGGCGCAAGCCUGAUCCAGCCAUGCCGCGUGCAGGAUGAAGGCCUUCGGGUUGUAAACUGCUUUUGUACGGAACGAAAAGCCUUCUUUUAAUACAGGAGGGUCAUGACGGUACCGUAAGAAUAAGCACCGGCUAACUACGUG
rnacentral:rRNA from 1 species